rnacentral:tRNA from 1 species
GGGCAGCUAGCUGUUAAUUAGUUGAUCGCGGGAUCGAGGCCCGUCUAUCUAG